GAUCCUGGCUCAGGAUGAACGCUAGCGACAGGCUUAACACAUGCAAGUCGAGGGGCAGCGAGGGAGUGGCAACACUUCUGUCGGCGACCGGCGCACGGGUGAGUAACGCGUAUGCAACCUGCCCUUCACAGGGGGGAUAACCGGGAGAAAUUCCGACUAAUACCGCAUACGUCCUCCGGGGGCAUCCCCGGGGGAUGAAAGAAUUAUCGGUGAAGGAUGGGCAUGCGUGAUAUUAGGUAGUUGGCGGGGCAACGG
rnacentral:rRNA from 1 species